UGAAAAUCUUUAAAAUGUUGCAUGAUGAGUUCCUGUAUGAUGAGAGUUUAAAUUCCUACCACAGCCAUAUAUGCAUGCUUGCUAGACUUUGAGCCACACAUUUACUAUUUACUGCUUAUGAGCAUUGAGUGUGGUCAAGCUGUGUAGACCCUUAGGAGCUUGUCAUGUGGUUAAAUCAAGAUUUCACUUGCACGUUCACUCAUAUAUGCUACUUCUACUCCGGAAGUACCAUCCACAUAUAUCCAUCCAUUUCCAUCUCCAGAAUCACCCAAAAAUAUUCUACUCCUAAUCCGGGAGAGAAUAGCCAAAAAUAUUAUCGUUUUCCCUUGUGAAAUAAAUGCUCAAGUUAUCAUGUUACUACCACUUGCUAUAUUAACUCAAGAGAUGAGUGCUCUAAAAAAAAGAAUAUAUAUACGAGGAAAUAAAAAGGAGCAAGUGCUCGGAACCUCGAAAGAAAAGAAAAAGUGAGACGAGAGGUAAAAAUGGACAAGUGUCCGACAGUAGAAUUAGGGGUACAAGAUACCCACCUGAGAGAAAAUAAAAAUGUAGAGCACCUCAUUCUCCUCACUAUUCAAAAAUCAAGGAAAGUAUGUAUCCCCUUAAAAGAGCAAAGUAGAAUUAGACUUUCACCAUUGUUAUCACCAUCAUCACCAUACAUCAUUCAUUCGCCACACAUGCACAUCUUGAUUAAACUUAUUGGCUUGUUUCUUUGGAUCCAUGGUUUGACUAUGCAAUACAUGUCUUGUAAGUAUGUAUACUUUAUCUCCCACCUAUGAGCUCCAGAUAUUAAAGCCUUAUUAGAGUAGGGUGAGAGAGAAGACAAUGUCACUAUGCUUUAUACCACAAAUACUACAUAUCUUG
rnacentral:lncRNA from 1 species